rnacentral:rRNA from 1 species
GAUGAACGCUAGCUACAGGCUUAACACAUGCAAGUCGAGGGGAAACGACAUCGAAAGCUUGCUUUUGAUGGGCGUCGACCGGCGCACGGGUGAGUAACGCGUAUCCAACCUGCCCACCACUUGGGGAUAACCUUGCGAAAGUAAGACUAAUACCCAAUGAUAUCCCACGAAGACAUCUGAAUGGGAUUAAAGACUUAUCGGUGAUGGACGGGGAUGCGUCUGAUUAGCUUGUGGGCGGGGUAACGGCACACCAAGGCAACGUACAGUAGGAGAUCUGAGAGGAAGGUCCCCCACGAUGGAACUGAGGCACGGGCCAAACACGUGCGGGAGGAGGCAGUGAGGUAUAUUGGUCAGUGGGCGAGAGCCUGAGCCAGCCAGGUAGCGUGCAGAAAGACGGCCCUAUGUGUUGUAAACUGCUUUUAAAAGAGAAUAAAGUGGGUCACGUGUGACUUUUUGCAUGUACCUUAUGAAUAAAGACCGGCUAAUUCCGUG